rnacentral:rRNA from 1 species
UACGUAGGGUGCAAGCGUUAAUCGGAAUUACUGGGCGUAAAGCGUGCGCAGGCGGUUUUGUAAGUCUGUCGUGAAAUCCCCGGGCUCAACCUGGGAAUUGCGAUGGAGACUGCAAGGCUAGAAUCUGGCAGAGGGGGGUAGAAUUCCACGUGUAGCAGUGAAAUGCGUAGAGAUGUGGAGGAACGACCGGUGGCGAAGGCGG